rnacentral:piRNA from 1 species
UACAAUGAAAAUCUGUUGCGAGCUCU